rnacentral:ncRNA from 1 species
UAGCGGGGAGCUUGUGUUACAGGCUGAGAGGAAGGUAUGACCUUCGACCCAUUUACCUGAUUUGGAUAAUGCCAACGCAGGGAUUGCCUGAA